UUUUGAUUAAUAAUUUAAAGUCUAAUCUGCCCCCUGAUAAUAUAUUAAAGGGCUGCAGUAUUUUGACUGUACAAAGGUAGCAUAAUCAUUAGUCUCUUAAUUGGUGACUUGUAUGAAGGAUUUGAUGAAAUAUAAACUGUCUCUUUUUGAUUUAUAAAAUUUAAUUUUUUAGUUAAAAAGCUAAAAUUUAUUUAAAAGACGAGAAGACCCUAUAGAGUUUUAUAUUUAUAUAAAUUAAAAUUUUUUAUAAGAUUUAAAAUUUCAAUUUAUAUAAAUAUUUUAUUGGGGUGAUAGAAAAAUUAAAAUAACUUUUUUUAUAAUUUUACAUUAAUAAAUGAAUAAAUGAUCCGUAAUUUACGAUUAUAAGAUAAAAUUACCUUAGGGAUAACAGCGUAAUUUUUUUUUUUAGUUCAAAUAAGAAAAAAAGUUUGCGACCUCGAUGUUGGAUUAAGAUAAAAUUUAAAUGCAAAAGUUUAAAAUUUUUGAUCUG
rnacentral:rRNA from 1 species